CAUUCACGGAGAGUUUGAUCCUGGCUCAGGACGAACGCUGGCGGCGUGCUUAACACAUGCAAGUCGAACGAUGAAGCCCUUCGGGGUGGAUUAGUGGCGAACGGGUGAGUAACACGUGGGCAAUCUGCCCUUCACUCUGGGACAAGCCCUGGAAACGGGGUCUAAUACCGGAUAACACUCUGUCCCGCAUGGGACGGGGUUAAAAGCUCCGGCGGUGAAGGAUGAGCCCGCGGCCUAUCAGCUUGUUGGUGGGGUAAUGGCCUACCAAGGCGACGACGGGUAGCCGGCCUGAGAGGGCGACCGGCCACACUGGGACUGAGACACGGCCCAGACUCCUACGGGAGGCAGCAGUGGGGAAUAUUGCACAAUGGGCGAAAGCCUGAUGCAGCGACGCCGCGUGAGGGAUGACGGCCUUCGGGUUGUAAACCUCUUUCAGCAGGGAAGAAGCGAAAGUGACGGUACCUGCAGAAGAAGCGCCGGCUAACUACGUGCCAGCAGCCGCGGUAAUACGUAGGGCGCAAGCGUUGUCCGGAAUUAUUGGGCGUAAAGAGCUCGUAGGCGGCUUGUCACGUCGGAUGUGAAAGCCCGGGGCUUAACCCCGGGUCUGCAUUCGAUACGGGCUAGCUAGAGUGUGGUAGGGGAGAUCGGAAUUCCUGGUGUAGCGGUGAAAUGCGCAGAUAUCAGGAGGAACACCGGUGGCGAAGGCGGAUCUCUGGGCCAUUACUGACGCUGAGGAGCGAAAGCGUGGGGAGCGAACAGGAUUAGAUACC
rnacentral:rRNA from 1 species